rnacentral:rRNA from 1 species
UACGGAGGGUGCGAGCGUUGUUCGGAAUUAUUGGGCGUAAAGCGCGUGUAGGCGGUUUGUUAAGUCUGAUGUGAAAGCCCCGGGCUCAACCUGGGAAGUGCAUUGGAUACUGGCAGACUUGAAUACGGGAGAGGGCAGUGGAAUUCCUGGUGUAGGAGUGAAAUCCGUAGAUAUCAGGAGGAACACCGGUGGCGAAGGCGGCUGCCUGGACCGAUAUUGACGCUGAGACGCGAAAGCGUGGGUAGCAAACAGGAUUAGAUACCCUGGUAGUCCACGCCGUAAACGAUGAGUACUAGGUGUUGCGGGUAUUGACCCCUGCAGUGCCGCAGCUAACGCAUUAAGUACUCCGCCUGGGAAGUACGGUCGCAAGACUAAAACUCAAAGGAAUUGGCGG